UAUGAAUUAAUGUAGUGCUUAAAGAAGAAGUGUGCAUUUUUGGGUGAUAUUGUUUGUGAAAGUGAAGUAGAUUGAAAAGUUGCGCUUAAAGUUGAUUACGUGAUUUGUUUAAGUGCUUAGGAGGGUUAGUCACUAUCCCUAAAUCUAUCCUACCCGUCCUUCAACCCACAUUACAACCAUAACAAGUCCUGACUGAUUUUGAUCCGAGC
rnacentral:lncRNA from 1 species